AUGCACACACACCCACACACGUGUCCACCUGGCAUCAUCCUGCAUGACACAGUGAACACAACACGUUCACGACAUCGGGCUCACCUCUCAGUUGAGGAAAUUGAGGUUCCGAGAAGCAAAGAGACUUGGGGUACCUGUCUGCUGGCUGGCUUAACCCCAUCUUUUUCCAGAGAAGAUAAGAGCUGGACAGGAUGGAUUGACCCAAAGGUGGCCCUUCACCCAGCCUCAGGGUUCAGAGUAGGGCCUGCCCUUCGUACAAGUGGCCCAGGAUCCCAACACCUGGUCCAGCCCCAGGCGGGCCCUGGGCACCCAAGGGCAGCUUCCCCAUACAGGGCCUCUGGUAGGGUGUUGCCCACCCUCCAGGGGGAGCUGGCUGAGCACGAGGGAGCACGGUGGAUGCUCAGCUGUGUAUGCACUCGGAACAGGAACAAGUCAGAGUCCGAGCUUGGUUUGACGGGUAGGGAUGGGCCAAAAUGUGAGCACCCCAGAGCUGGGGCAGGAACAGUGCAGGUAAAAGAGGCCCUGGGAGCCAGUAAGAGAACACGAGGCCAGAGGCACCUUCCGUCCUCAAGUGGGGGUCUCAGCAGCCCCAGAGCAGCAUGCAGAGUCACAGCAGGUCCUAUAGAACUUCCUAGAAGCUUCUGGAGUUGUGGAGGCACAGCAUGGGGAAGGAUUGGACAGGAGCCACCCAAUCCCCUUGCGAUGCAGAUGAGGCCCAAGGGAAGGCAGACGACAGGGCCAGGUCACACAGCAGGCAGCCGGGGCAUCACUGCCCAGGCCUUCUCCUCUCGUUGGCCCAGAGCCCCAGCCUCCUCCAACCCCAGGAUGUUGCCAAAACACCUCUGCUCCAUCCAGGUCCUGCGGCCCCAACACGUUCUCCUGGCCUGGCUCCCAGGCUGCUUAACCACCCCAGGGCCCCACCGUCAGCCUCCUUCCUGCCCUGCACUCCGGGAAGGGUGCCCGGCCAGGGCCUGCCAUGAGAAGACGGACAGAGACCUGCCAUCUUGA
rnacentral:lncRNA from 1 species